rnacentral:rRNA from 1 species
UACGAAGGGGGCUAGCGUUGCUCGGAAUCACUGGGCGUAAAGGGUGCGUAGGCGGGUUUUUAAGUCAGGGGUGAAAUCCCAAGGCUCAACCUUGGAACUGCCUUUGAUACUGGGAAUCUUGAGUCCGGGAGAGGUGAGUGGAACUGCGAGUGUAGAGGUGAAAUUCGUAGAUAUUCGCAAGAACACCAGUGGCGAAGGCGGCUCACUGGCCCGGAACUGACGCUGAGGCGCGAAAGCGUGGGGAGCAAACAGG